rnacentral:rRNA from 1 species
GUCGAACGCUGGCGGCGUGCCUAAUACAUGCAAGUCGAACGCAGUGGGGACGGGUGAUUAAAACGUGGGUAACCUCCCAUCAGAGGGGAUAACCCUUGGAAACAGGUGCUAAACCGAUACUGAUGGAUGGACCAGCGGUGCAUUAGCUAGUUGGUGGGGUAACGGCUCACCAAGGCCACGCUGCAUAGCCGGCCUGAGAGGGUGAGCGGCCACAAUGGAACUGAGAAACGGCCCAGACUCCUACGAGAGGCAGCAGUGGGGAAUCUUGGGCAAUGGACGAAAGGCUGAUCGAGCAAUGCCGCGUGAAUGAAGAAGGUCUUCGGGUUGUAAAACUCUUUUUUUAGAGAAGCGGUAUCUAACCAGAAAGCCACGGCUAACUACGUGCCAGCAGCCGCGGUAAUUC